UACGAAGGGGACUAGCGUUGUUCGGAAUUACUGGGCGUAAAGCGCACGUAGGCGGAUUUGUAAGUCAGGGGUGAAAUCCCGGGGCUCAACCUCGGAACUGCCCUUGAUACUGCAAAUCUCGAGUCCGAGAGAGGUGGGUGGAAUUCCUAGUGUAGAGGUGAAAUUCGUAGAUAUUAGGAAGAACACCGGUGGCGAAGGCGGCCCACUGGCUCGGUACUGACGCUGAGGUGCGAAAGCGUGGGUAGCGAACGGG
rnacentral:misc_RNA from 1 species